ACACCCCUGAGCCCCAGCAGCACCUGUGUCCCUGCUCAGGAACGAUGGAUAAGGGGCAGGGUUUGUUCAGGCCUCGCUGGAAACACAGAGCUGUUCUCUCUAUGUUGGGAGGGGCUUUUCUGAAACUUCAACCCCUCUGUGGUGGGAUGCCCAUGAAGAGAAGCAAGAGGCUGUGAUAAAGGAGGAAGAUUAGAGCGCCGUUAAGAUGUGGAAUAAUGAUGCAGCUCAAGCAGGGCCAGUGGAAAAAACAACCCGCUCAGGAAAAUAUCUCCAAAGUGCUGAGCAGAGGAGGGCAUUUAAAAACUGAUAACGCUGAGAGCUGGUGCCAAAUAAUGAAGAUGAGACUUUGAAGUGGGACAGAGUUGAUGCACUGAAUCAAAGCAGUUGAUGACUCUGCCUCCCUCUCAAGUGAAUCCCUCGUGUUUAUUUGGAUGGCUGAAGUAACAUUAAUAAGAUAAUUCCCUAAGAACCACCCUCUGUGUCUUUUUCAUAAACUCCCACCCCAAACAGCAUAAUUAAUUUUGCUGUUGUACAGAAGAAUAAUAAUAAAAAAUCCUUUGGGAGGUAGGUGGUAAUUUCUAUCUGAUGGAAAUUGAGAUUAGACACAGCACAUAAAACUUUUUGAUAAUUUAUUCACCAGAAAUUGCUGUAUUAUACCUAUCAGAGAGCUGGUGAUAUGAAACUUAACAAGCUGAUAUUUCACUCUGAUUUCCUUGAGCAUGAUCCAAUUUAUUAAAACAAAAUUCUAGAUUAGCUUUAAUAAGAAAGAUUUUUAUAUUCCAGACUAACGUAUGUCAGAAUGCACAAAACCGAUAACGGGAGCGCUGACAGGAGCUCGGUUUUGUGCAGCACUGAGAGACGGGUUCAGAAGGAAAAGGAGAAAUUUCCCCAAAUUUCUGAGUAUUUCUGUGGAACCGGGGGAUGAGAGAGCAGAAAAGAGAGCAGGGUUGUGUCGGAGCACCGCCCAGAGCAGCACAGCACGAGGCAGCACCGUGGGGGAAGCUAUUUCUGGUUCCAUCAUCAACGCCCCAUAUGACAGCACAGGAAUUAUUUCAGGACACAAUCGCUUUCCAAUGGGUACGGAAUAAAUAGAGAGGAGCUGAGAGAACCCUUGCUGUUU